rnacentral:rRNA from 1 species
UACAGAGGGGGCAAGCGUUGUUCGGAAUUACUGGGCGUAAAGGGCGCGUAGGCGGCCUUCUAAGUUGAACGUGAAAUCCCCGGGCUCAACCCGGGAACUGCGUCCAAGACUGGGAGGCUAGAAUCCGGGAGAGGGAUGUGGAAUUCCAGGUGUAGCGGUGAAAUGCGUAGAUAUCUGGAGGAAUACCGGUGGCGAAGGCGGCAUCCUGGACCGGCAUUGACGCUGAGGAGCGAAAGCUAGGGGAGCAAACGGG